ACUCCGCUGGCUGGUGACAGAGUCCCUAACCGCCCCAGGCUCCUAGUCCCAGCCCGCCUCGGCGCCUCACCUGCAGUGGUCAGGGGAAUCACGAGGAGCGCGCCCGGACCGUGGAGCGGAAAUGCCCAGCUGGGCGGGUGUCGCAACCAAACCGCCCCGGGCGGCGCUCCUGCUGGUCGCUCGCCGCUCGGCCCGCCCCGGCAGCGCCACGGAGCGCACCUGGCCGCGCGCACGCCACGCCCCAUGUGCCGGAACCGCGCAGAGCAAGACUUGAAUGCAUGAUACACAGUAUUGAAAAUACUACUUGAGAAGACCCAAGGAGAACACGAGAAGACACGAGACAUGCCCACAACCUAGUGGGUGGAAGAGACAUGGGAUGGCAUCUCAGUACACUACUAACAGACAUCUUAGACCAUGUUUAAAUUCUCUCCCAGAUACCAAUUAUAUCCAAAGUGGGACAUAAAGCACGGCAAAGCAACACUAACUUCUGAAUAUUCUUACAGCCAAGUACAUGUUCUGUAUGUUUUGGAAAACAAGCCAUCUACCUCCUGUCUACACAGUUUAGAUGGUUUACUAGUUUUCGAUUCUAUCAAAGUACCACCAAGGCUUUUAAAGGGAUGGUUGGGUUUUUAUAAAGAAGGCAGCAGAGGGCUACUUGGUAGAAAACUUGCCUACCACAUCCAAGGCCCUGGGACUGAUCUCCAGUAUCGUAAGAUAGCACAACAAGGGUAACAAGGCCCACCACCCCACCCCAAACCAGUUGAACCUGGUCUACUAUGGGCUGAGAAAUCAGAUCUAAUCAUCAGCAUUGUAUUUUAACUAAGAAUCCAUUCCUCUCAGAAUAGACCUGAAAGCAGAUCCUAUGUGUACCUCGCUGUCUCCAGCAUGCUGGAGGGUAGUGUGGCUCAAUGAUGGGCCUCAGAAUAAAUGAGACCUGAUCACACCCACUCCUCCAUGACUCAACACUAAUUUUCAUUACAUUAUGCUUUUCAUCACAUUAUGUUCAGGUAGGUUAGAGGAAACUUCGUUUUCUAGAAAGACAUUAGCAUCAUUAUGUGUGCUAGGGUACUGCAUGUGCUCUUGCGGCUAGAAGUCAGGAUCAGAUGUCUUCUUCAAUUGUUAUCCAAUUGAUUUUUUUAAGUCAGGGACAGGGUUUUCACUGACCUUGGAGCUCAUUAAUUAGGUUAAUCUAGCUGGCUAGUAAGGGGAUCUCCUGUCUCUAUUUCCCAGUGUUGGGGUUGUAUGGUAUCUACCACCGUGCCUGGGCUUUUAUGUGGGUGAGGAGGGUGUGACUUGUGGCCUCAUGCCUGCAAUGUGAGCAUUUUACCGAUUGAGCCAUCUCCCCAGUCUCUAGAAAAAGUUAUUUUUGUUAACAUCAAUUAACCCAGAUUUAUUUUCAUUCUUUCUCCCUCCCUUCCUUCCCCACUCCCUUCUUUCUUUUCCUGGAGUCUCUCUGUGUCAUCCUGAGGGCCUCAAACACAGAGAUUUGCCUGCCUCUCCCUGCCAAAUGCUGGGACCAAAGCUGCAUACCACCACACCCAGCUUAUUUAUCUUUUAAACUCUAGGACUAACAUUGGUCAGCAACACGCCCUGACUAGCCUGUGGGAAUGACACUGGUCUGCAUGCCUUGGUUAGCCCACAGAACGAUGGAUAGUGGAACACCUUCUCAUCAUCUCCUUCUCCUCUGCACCUGUGUUAUCCAGAAGUAUGAUCAUGUUGUUCCACGCCAGGCUGUGCUCCGGCUUCAGUACGGUGGCAUUUCUCCAAGCGUUCAAUGCAUCCACGUGGCGAUUUAGAUCUGCAUACUGAAAAUAAAGCCCCCCCCCC
ensembl:processed_transcript 4930594M22Rik RIKEN cDNA 4930594M22 gene